UUUGGGUGGGACCACUUAUGUUGUUUUACACUUUUUCAUUUCUCACUUUAAUAUUCUGUGGUUUAAAGUGUAUCAAUUUGUGGUUUCAUUUUUAUUUUUUUAUUAUCGAUUUUAUUAAUUUUUUUCGUUAAAUUAGUGACAAACUUAAAACUAAAGAGUACUAAAGUAAAUAUUUGAUAAACCUAGGUGGGGUAUCUAAAAUUUUUUGUAUAUAAUUUAAUGAAGUAUUAACGAAAGAAAUGACGAAAAAAUAAAAAUAAAACCACAGGACACUAACUUGAUAUACUUUAAACCACAGAAUACUAAAGUGAGAAAGUGCGAAACCACAGAGAUAGUAUUUAAAGUUUACCCUUUUUUUUAACAAAGAGAGGGGUUUAAGUUUUUUUCUUUUUAAAUAAAUUCAGCAAAAAUUGUAAAGUAACUAGACUUUGAGGUUAGGAUCUGGCGUACGGAUCAUCAGGUCCUUUU
rnacentral:lncRNA from 1 species